rnacentral:rRNA from 1 species
AUUGAACGCUGGCGGCAGGCCUAACACAUGCAAGUCGAGCGGAUGAAGGGAGCUUGCUCCUGGAUUCAGCGGCGGACGGGUGAGUAAUGCCUAGGAAUCUGCCUGGUAGUGGGGGAUAACGUCCGGAAACGGGCGUUAAUACCGCAUACGUCCUGAGGGAGAAAGUGGGGGAUCUUCGGACCUCACGCUAUCAGAUGAGCCUAGGUCGGAUUAGCUAGUUGGUGGGGUAAAGGCCUACCAAGGCGACGAUCCGUAACUGGUCUGAGAGGAUGAUCAGUCACACUGGAACUGAGACACGGUCCAGACUCCUACGGGAGGCAGCAGUGGGGAAUAUUGGACAAUGGGCGAAAGCCUGAUCCAGCCAUGCCGCGUGUGUGAAGAAGGUCUUCGGAUUGUAAAGCACUUUAAGUUGGGAGGAAGGGCAGUAAGUUAAUACCUUGCUGUUUUGACGUUACCAACAGAAUAAGCACCGGCUAACUUCGUG